GGGAGCGGGAUGCACCCUGGGGGAAACCAGAUCCAAAAAUAAUGGCCUGUAAGUGUCAGGCUGUAAAGGUGUCUCAGCUUGGAUCUUCUGAGGCCGACGGAUUUUGACAAAGAUUUGCAAAAGCACAACUCCGUAUUGUGGAAGUUCAUCUACAAUUAGAAAUCAGGGAUGUGGAUUUUCAUAUGUGGUUACAGUAAGCUUAAAACAGGUUUCAGUCAUCUGACAUUCUACUUGUGAUGAUACAGAACACCGUUCGGCCCUUUUGUUGAUGCCUGAAACGACAGAGACUCCUGAAUGUUAGAUAAGAGGAACUUACAACUGGAUACUUUUCAACUAUUCCCUCAGGUCCUAAUUCAUUGCUGGAGAUGCAUGAGGACUUCUGUUCCCAUCAACACUGGGCAUAAACUUCUUGAAAGAAUGAAACGGCUACCAAUGACAAUCCCAAGUUUGAAAGAGAAAAUGUGCCAGACUUUCCUCGGGGCCAGAUAAUACAUUCAAAUUAG